rnacentral:lncRNA from 1 species
GAGAGAGAGCAGGCAGGAGAGGGAGACUCACAUGAGCAUUGGUAUAAAAACAACAUGUAGGGCUCUGUCAGUGCUGUCUAUAGGUUGGAGUGGAGCAGAAGAAGGAGACUCACAGGAGGAAUAGUGGAGAUAUACUUAAAGACCUGGAGCUCAGAAAGCAGAUCGGAAUGGACCACAUGGAAAAAAAGGGAAUCACACACCUCAGCAUUGACUGGAUAGUCAG